rnacentral:rRNA from 1 species
AACGAACGUUGGCGGCAUGGAUUAGGCAUGCAAGUCGAGGGAAUCCCAGCAAUGGGGGAACCGGCGUAAGGGGCAGUAAGGCAUGGGUACCUACCUCGGGGUCCGGGAUAGCCGUCCGAGAGGGCGGGUAAUACCGGAUGACAUCGGGAGAUCAAAGGUCCGCCGCCCUGGGAGGGGCCCAUGUGGUAUUACCUAGUUGGCGGGGUAACGGCCCACCAAGGGGGAGAUGCCUAGCGGGUGUGAGAGCACGACCCGCGCCACUGGCACUGAGACACUGGCCAGACACCUACGGGUGGCUGCAGUCGAGGAUCUUCGGCAAUGGGCGCAAGCCCGACCGAGCGAUGCCGCGUGGGCGACGAAGGCCUUCGGGUUGUAAAGCCCUGUCGAGGGGGAGGAAAGCCGCAAGGUCGAUCCAUCCCUCGGAGGAAGCACGGGCUAAGUUCGUGCCAGCAGCCGCGGUAAGG